GGGUUGUAUACUUCUUUUAUAUUAGAAUAAAGUGCAGUAUGUAUACUGUUUUGUAUGUGUAAUAUGAAUAAGGAUCGGCUAACUCCGUGCCAGCAGCCGCGGUAAUACGGAGGAUCCGAGCGUUAUCCGGAUUUAUUGGGUUUAAAGGGAGCGUAGGUGGGCUGGUAAGUCAGUUGUGAAAGUUUGCGGCUCAACCGUAAAAUUGCAGUUGAUACUGUCAGUCUUGAGUACAGUAGAGGUGGGCGGAAUUCGUGGUGUAGCGGUGAAAUGCUUAGAUAUCACGAAGAACUCCGAUUGCGAAGGCAGCUCACUGGACUGCAACUGACACUGAUGCUCGAAAGUGUGGGUAUCAAACAGGAUUACAUACCCUGGUAGUCCACACAGUAAA
rnacentral:rRNA from 1 species